rnacentral:tRNA from 1 species
AUCUAAUUAGUAUAAACAGUAUUAUAAACUUCCAAUUUAUAGGUCUAUCCAGAUAGAUUAGAUA